rnacentral:rRNA from 1 species
UACGAAGGGGGCUAGCGUUGCUCGGAAUCACUGGGCGUAAAGGGCGCGUAGGCGGCCUUCUAAGUCGAACGUGAAAUCCCCGGGCUCAACCCGGGAACUACGUCCGAUACUGGAAGGCUUGAAUCCGGGAGAGGGAUGCGGAAUUCCAGGUGUAGCGGUGAAAUGCGUAGAUAUCUGGAGGAACACCGGUGGCGAAGGCGGCAUCCUGGACCGGCAUUGACGCUGAGGCGCGAAAGCCAGGGGAGCAAACGGG